UCCGGACAGCUAUGUCCUGGACUUUGUCAAGCCUUGACAAGAACUUCCUGACCUAACUGCAGGAGAUGUGACUAGAUAAGACCUUCCUGGCCUAACUGCAGGAGAUGGCGAUUAGGUAAACUUUCUGGAGCCUGUCAACUGCAGGGGGCCUGGGACCAAAGCGACCUCACCCUUCCUCAGGAAUUUUCCAUUCUUCUCUCCUUUUGCUUCCUCUGCUCCCCCUCCCUGCCUGAAGCCCUGCUUAUAAGUCUCAACACCCAGUCAAUAAACGAGACCUUGACGCGACUCAGACUGACUCUGUCUUCCCUUAUUGCGCCUGGUCUCCUUUCUCUCUCGCCCCCAUUGAUCUUUCAGGAGGUGCCUCCUCGGGUCUCCCCAAUAACCUGGCCCGCGGGACGGGUCAAGUGGCGCCCAACGUGGGGCCCGAGGCACGGUGACCUGCCGGACGACGGACAACAGAAGGGGCCCCCCCGGAGAGGAUCAGGGUAGAGACGCCCGGACCGCAUCACUCGUGCAACGCGGGAGAGUCUUGAGGCUCUCACUGGGACAGACGUGUCCGGACAGUGAACCUGGCGGCCAAGGGAGACGUCCCAGAGCCCUAAGGCCACCUCAGAGGUAACCAUUUGGUUUAGGAGCAUCUUUGGGUAUCUUCCCCCACGGUGGGAGGAAGUGCCACUUUGUAUUUUGUCCUGGGAAAUUGUCAGAGCCAUUUUAUGGGGUUUUUUUGUAUGUUUUGUUGUGAUCAUUGUUACUUUACUCUCUCCUUCUCUUCCAAGAAAAAAAAAAAAGGUGCAUGUCUGACUGACAGGGAUGUGGAAGCCCCUGAUGUCUGUUUGAUUUAAGGAUAGAGAUACUUGAGUCUGGAUUGUUUUUGAUAUGAUUGAGCCUGGAGGGUUGCCCUCCCCCCACCCAGAGCACAUCAGGCUGUCAUUGUUCUUGGAACUUUGUUGGUUGUUUUGUUGGGGCGAAGUUUUUUCAUGUGCCCUUGGUCUUGUGUGUAAUGUAUUAACUGUUCUCAAUGUUGACUUGACUGUGACGGACGCUAUGGGACAGUUCCCUUCUUCUCCACUAGACCUUUGCCUAGCCCACUAGAAGGAUGUUUGAGCCACAAUAGAGGGAACUGGGUCCCCCACCCCCACUCCCCGAUUGAACUGAGAUAAACAGGUAGCUCCUGCCUGAUGGGGCUUGCAUACUGUAAGAGGGGCUUGCUGGCUGUGAAUGAGGCCGUCAUCUCAGUGCUGAUGUUCCGGUUCUUGGAUUGUCUGUGUAAAUGUUAUUUAUUUCUGUCUACUAACCUCCCUUAUUUUCCUAAAGGAAGAGGAGGAAAGAGAGGCAUAACAAAGGCCACCUCCGUCCGUCCCUCCGUAGCUCUCUUGCUAUCAGGACUGCAGCCAGCUGGCUGCUCUCACGAGGGUGGGGGUGCAUGCUCUCCUUACAGGCGGGCAAAGACAGGAGCUCUGGACAGGGCAAUGGGGACUGCCUGCAAUUGACAAAACUGUGUGGACUCUGAGCAGAGAAUCUGACUUUAGUCAGAGGAGUUAACAAAAACUUUUUUUCAGGAACACUGGCAGCCAAGGACAUGCUCUAUGCCCACUGCUCCCCUUCCCUCCCUUUACUGUGAUAACUUCAAGGUCUCUUCUGCCGGCCAGCCACUUCUCUUGUUAACCCUUCUCUGUCCUGGUAUUGCUUGAAAAGAAAUGUUAAAUUAUCAGUUCAAGAUACUGGGAAAAUUAUGCUUUUGUUUCCACAGGAAAAAUAAAAAAUUUACAUGGUGUGAAACCUCAAUAACCCCCCUUCCUCUAUCCCCUACAGACAAAGAGAAGCCUAAACCAGGAUUCCUAAGUGUAGAUAAGAAGUUAGACCCCUUUUUUCCCAGGUGGCUUUAUCAGCUACAGAAACUUAAAAAAAAAAAAAAAAAACAAAAAACAAACAAACAAACAAAAAAACCACAGAGUCCGAAUAUAUGACCAUCUGACAGAGGCUAAGUGGUCAUAAAACAUCCCAAACUUCUCGAACCCCGGAGACAGCUCGUAAAACUCCUAGACACGGUUGUUUAACAAACAAGAAAUAAAGAUAACAUACUGAUAUGAACCAGAAAGAAUGGAGACAGGCUGUGAGAGAUGAAUUAUGUGGUCUGUGCCUUUAAGAACUAGCCUCACAAAGAAAGGGCGUGAGAGAUUUGGAACGAGCCCCCUGCCGUGGCUUGUAAACUUUGACUUCAUCUGAAUAAACCUUGCUUUUUGCAUUCUGUACCUAAGUCUCCAGGAGGGUUCUUUGGGGGCGAUCUGGGCAUAGCAAUGGGUUUUGGUCAUUUGAGUUCAAUGGGUUACAAAUACUUGCCAUCAUUUAAGAGAAUUGGUUUCAAAUUAUUGUUGGUUAAGAUAAAAAAAAAAUGUUUUAAAAAAUAUGUAAAAUGCAAGUUAUUAGAAUAUGUAAAAGCAAGGUAUAAAGGUCUGAGGAUAAAAAGGCUUAAAUAAUGAUCUAAAAAAAUGACUUGAGAUAUAUAAAAAAAAAAAAUAAAACAUGUUUCAGAUUUCUUUGUCUUGCUAUUCUGCUGUUACAUUGAGACUCCAAAGGGUUAUAGUUGUAAAAAUGUCUGUCUACUGUACAGGUAUGAAUGAAAAAUGUGGCCACAUGUAUGUUUGGUUUUGAAUGUCUGAGUUUGCAUGUCCUUUAUGUUAAGGAAUACAAGUUAAUACUAGUCAUCUGGCUAUUCAGAUACUAGUUUAAAGUAUAAACUGUUCUAUUUUAAUAAAAAAAAACUGAGAGGUAUAUUUAACUAAUAUAUCUAUAGGUGAACAAAUUGGCCUGGUUAUUGUUACCAAACUUAGAGAUAUUUUCAAGAUUGGGCCUAGAUUUGUUUGGCUCAGAUACAUUUAAUAGAUAAUGGUCCUCAAACCUGUCAAGAUCUGUUAAAUAUGGCAUUUACAUUAUUUGAUAAAAAGCUUACUAUAGCAAACAGAGACUCCAAGCUCCCCAGCUCCUAGCAAUGACUCCCAAGGUCUCCAAAAAAGAUAUGGAGCAAUGACAAGAAGAUGCCACCUGAUAUGUGGACAACACUGACCACUGGGCAAGACACUCUGACUCAACACCUGCUGCCAGGGAUUUGGCCUAUGAGACACUGACAAGAUAAGAUCAGUCUUUACCAAGUUGCUCCUCAACAGGGAAAAUUUCACAUUAUGGGCCCAGCAGCCAAGACUGAUGCUGUCCUGACACCUGUCCUGCCAACACUAUGAAGACUAUAGGAGCCUGGGAUGAUGGCAGUCUGGGUAAUGGAUAGUCUCUGUUGUUUUUUAAAUAGAUUUAAAAGUCUGCACUCAGGUAGAGUUUAUCCUUCUCAGAUCUUUGAUAACAUUGAUGACUGGGCUAGCUAUACCUUUGUCAGCUUAGUAAUUGAUUGAUCAAUGGAUUAAUUAAUUAAAGAAAAUAAAAAAAAUAAAGCUAAUAAGGAGAAAAAUAAAGCUGGGAAAUGAAAGGCUGAGAGACACUGCCAGCUGCCACGAUGACAAACAGCAUGUGAAGAUGCCGGUAAGCCACGACCCACGUGGCAAGGUAUAGAUUUAUAAAAAUGGAUUAAUUUAAGCUGUAAGAACAGUUAGCAAGAAGCCUGCCACGGCCAUACAGUUUGUAAGCAAUAUAAGUCUCUGUGUUUACUUGGUCGGGUCUGAGUGACUGUGGGACUGGCAGAUGAGAGAGAUUUUUCCUGACUGUGGGCAAGGCAGGAAAACUCUAGCUACAAGUCUCUUUAAAAAAGGUAAACAGGUUCUAAAUAUAGACUUACAGAUGCUUUUCAUUGGGCCAAAGAAAUUUCAGUCCAAUCUAUGCUUGGCUCUCUAGAUAGAAAAGACACUAUGGAUUUCAGGGCAAAUUGAUAAUACUACAAUUACUAAGACUAUGGGUCUAAAAGUUCCAAAUAAGUUCAUAAGUUUUAACUUCUGUUCCUAGUUUAUAUCUAUCUCAACAGGUUUCCACGUGGCUGACAGAUACAUCCAAGCAUCAUUUGCUGGUGACAACCUACUGCAAAUGACUGAGCCCUGAACUUGCUGAAAGCUGAUAUGGACCAAUUCAGUCGAUAUGCAUACCAUCUCUUCAGCUGGUCAAUAAAACAUUCCCUCUUGUCUUUGACUAACAUUCUGGCUUUCCAGGGCCUUGACAACAACGUCCCAAUGUCAGCAGGAAGUAAUUAUAGAAGAGAAAACAUCGCCCUUGUUUCCCGCCCCCCUGGAAUGUUAGAUCAAAAGGGAAUUUCUUGUCAUAGGGAACCUGAGAUAAAGUUCCAGGUUCCUUGAGGAUAAGGAACUCUGUCAGCCAUCAGAAGGCUUUUGGCCCAUGUGCUUCUGCUAAUUACUGUUGGCUCUUAUAUCACUGAUGUCUUAACUAAAUGAUGAUUCAUGUCUGGGUACCACUAAACUGAGGAUGCUAGAAUUCCAAUAUCCACCUCUGAACCCAUGACAUACUUGCAGAUGGCAAAAACUGAAUAAGGGGAAGCUCGCUUUGCCAUUGAUAAUGGGAAAGCUCUUAUGUUCUGGUCCAAUUAGUCUCUGAUAUGGAAUUCUUUGAACAGAGAGGCAGAUACACUCGAGAACCUGUGUCUAUGACUAUUGCCCUAUUGUUAGGUAUUGGGGGUAUCACUGCAGAAAUUGGUACAGGAACUACUGCCCUCGUGCAGAGCAACCACCUUAUGCAGUUACAAAUGGCUAUGACUACUGACCUAGAGGCCAUAGAAAGAUCCAUUUCUGCUCUGGAGAAAUCUUUAACCUCGCUCUCUGAAGUUGUGUUACAAAACAUAAGAGGUCUGGAUUUACUAUUUUUAAAGGAGGGGGGAUUAUGUGCAGCCUUAAAGAAAGAAUGCUGCUUUUAUGCCGACCAUACUGGUAUUGUCAGGGAAUUGAUGGAAAAAUUAAGGAAAAGGCUAGCCCCCCCCCAAAAAAAAGGAGUUUAAAAAUCAGCACAGGUGGUUUAAAAAUUGGCUGCAAGGGUCCCCCUGGCUCUCCACCUUGCUACCUACCUUGCUACCUAGCCCCCUUAGUUGUUUUUCUCCUUCUCAUUACCUUUGGUCCCUGGGCCUUUCAGCAGUUGACUCAGUUUAUCAAAAAUCAGAUUGAUUCGGCCUCACCACGACACAUCUCGAUUCAUUAUCAUAGAGUAGAUUCCGAGGAGGCCAGCCAGGAGCCCCAUCAAGGACUCAGAUUCAGUGUCCUAAGGCCCUAGCGUCCCCAUGGUCUUGCUAGAGGGUACCCAAUGACGGGAAUAGUACAGGGCUCACGCCGGAGACAACAGCAUACAGAGGUCGUCGAGACCGGCUCAACAUGGCACGCUGCCGAGUGUGGGAAGCCCCCUGUGUAGCCUAAGACAGGGACUCUCUCGGACCCUAGCCACCCCGAUCACAAUGGACUUGGUCCAUUUUUGAGAAAAGGGGAGGAACUGUUGGAGACCGACUCCGGACAGCUAUGUCCUGGACUUUGUCAAGCCUUGACAAGAACUUCCUGACCUAACUGCAGGAGAUGUGACUAGAUAAGACCUUCCUGGCCUAACUGCAGGAGAUGGCGAUUAGGUAAACUUUCUGGAGCCUGUCAACUGCAGGGGGCCUGGGACCAAAGCGACCUCACCCUUCCUCAGGAAUUUUCCAUUCUUCUCUCCUUUUGCUUCCUCUGCUCCCCCUCCCUGCCUGAAGCCCUGCUUAUAAGUCUCAACACCCAGUCAAUAAACGAGACCUUGACGCGA